GGCUAUAGGAUCAUUGUAGCAUCAUCAUAUAGUUGGGCAGCACCACUGGGUUGGAAGGGUCCUUACAGCGCCAUUGGGUCGGAAGGGUCCUUACAGCGCCAUUGGGUCAGAAGGGUCCUUACAGCGCCAUUGGGUUGGAAGGGUCCUUACAGAUCACUGAACCACAGCACUGCUGGGUUGGAAGGGUCCUUACAGCUCCAUUGGGUUAGAAGGGUCCUUACAGAUCACUGAACCACAGCAUGGUUGGGUUGGAAGGGUCCUUACAGCACUGUUGAGUUGGAAGGGUCCUUACAGCUCCAUUGGGUUGGAAGGGUCCUUACAGAUCACUGAACCACAGUGCCAUUGGGUCAGAAGGGUCCUUACAGAUCACUGG
ensembl:lncRNA